AGGACGAACGCUGGCGGCGUGCUUAACACAUGCAAGUCGAGCGGUAAGGCUCCUUCGGGAGUACACGAGCGGCGAACGGGUGAGUAACACGUGAGCAAUCUGCCCUUCACACAGGGAUAAACUCCGGGAAACUGGUGCUAAUACCUGAUACGACCACUUCAGGCAUCUGAUGGUGGUGGAAAGUUCCGGCGGUGAAGGAUGAGCUCGCGGCCUAUCAGCUUGUUGGUGGGGUAAUGGCCCACCAAGGCAACGACGGAUAGCCGGCCUGAGAGGGUGACCGGCCACACUGGGACUGAGACACGGCCCAGACUCCUACGGGAGGCAGCAGUGGGGAAUAUUGCGCAAUGGGCGGAAGCCUGACGCAGCGACGCCGCGUGGGGGAUGACGGCCUUCGGGUUGUAAACCUCUUUCGUCAUCGACGAAGCCCUCGGGUGACGGUAGGUGGAGAAGAGCACCGGCCAACGUACGUGCCAGCAGCCGC
rnacentral:rRNA from 1 species